CUACGGGAGGCAGCAGUGGGGAAUAUUGGACAAUGGGGGAAACCCUGAUCCAGCGACGCCGCGUGAGUGAAGAAGUAUUUCGGUACGUAAAGCUCUAUCAGCAGGAAAGAAAAUGACGGUACCUGACUAAGAGGCCCCGGCUAACUACGUGCCAGCAGCCGCGGUAAUACGUAGGGGGCAAGCGUUAUCCGGAUUUACUGGGUGUAAAGGGAGCGUAGACGGCUGUGCAAGCCAGAUGUGAAAGCCCGGGGCUCAACCCCGGGACUGCAUUUGGAACUGUGUGGCUGGAGUGUCGGAGAGGCAGG
rnacentral:rRNA from 1 species